GUGACUCGUCACACUAUCAUUAACUGAAUCCAUAGGUUAAUGAGGCGAACCGGGGGAACUGAAACAUCUAAGUACCCCGAGGAAAAGAAAUCAACCGAGAUUCCCCCAGUAGCGGCGAGCGAACGGGGAGGAGCCCAGAGCCUGAAUCAGCAUGUGUGUUAGUGGAAGCGUCUGGAAAGGCGCGCGAUACAGGGUGACAGCCCCGUACACAAAAGCGCAUGUGCUGUGAGCUCGAUGAGUAGGGCGGGACACGUGGUAUCCUGUCUGAAUAUGGGGGGACCAUCCUCCAAGGCUAAAUACUCCUGACUGACCGAUAGUGAACCAGUACCGUGAGGGAAAGGCGAAAAGAACCCCGGCGAGGGGAGUGAAAAAGAACCUGAAACCGU
rnacentral:rRNA from 3 species